UUGUAGUUGUAGCAGAUGUUGUCGUGGUAACAGGUGUUGUAGUGGUGGCAGGUGUUGUCGUGGUAACAGGUGUUGUAGUUGUAACAGGUGUUGUAGUUAUAGCAGGUGUUGUCGUGGUAACAGGUGUGGUCGUCAUGGUAACAAUGAGUAAAGUACUGCUAGUAGUCGUAGUCAUAGUAGGACUCGUAGUGGUUGUAGUAAGGGGAGUGGUAGUGGCAGCCGUGGUGGAGAUGGGAGUUGUAGUUCUUGUAGUCCU